rnacentral:rRNA from 1 species
GGGUAGUCCCAGCCGUAAACGAUGUUCGCUAGGUGUCAGGGGCGGUGCGACCGCUUCUGGUGCCGUAGGGAAGCCGUGAAGCGAACCACCUGGGAAGUACGGCCGCAAGGCUGAAACUUAAAGGAAUUGGCGGGGGAGCACUACAACGGGUGGAGCCUGCGGUUUAAUUGGACUCAACGCCGGAAAACUCACCGGGGGCGACAGCAAUAUGUAGGUCAAGCUAAAGACUUUACCUGAAUCGCUGAGAGGAGGUGCAUGGCCGUCGUCAGUUCGUACUGUGAAGCAUCCUGUUAAGUCAGGCAACGAGCGAGACCCGUGCCCACUGUUGCCAGCAUGUCCUUCGGGAUGAUGGGUACUCUGUGGGGACCGCUGGUGCUAAACCAGAGGAAGGUGCGGGCUACGGUAGGUCAGUAUGCCCCGAAUCUCCCGGGCUACACGCGGGCUACAAUGGGUUGGGGACAAUGGGGUCCCUACACCGAAAGGUGAUGGGUAAUCUCUUAAACCCACCGUAGUUCGAAUCGAGGACUGUAACUCGUCCUCGUGAA